rnacentral:rRNA from 1 species
UACGUAGGCAGCGAGCGUUGUUCGGAAUUACUGGGCGUAAAGAGUGUGUAGGCGGUGCUCUAAGUUCGGUGUGAAAUCUCCCGGCUUAACUGGGAGGGUGCGCCGGAAACUGGAGUGCUCGAGCGUGGGAGAGGAAAGCGGAAUUCCUGGUGUAGCGGUGAAAUGCGUAGAUAUCAGGAGGAACACCGGUGGCGAAGGCGGAUCUCUGGGCCAUUACUGACGCUGAGGAGCGAAAGCGUGGGGAGCGAACAGG